UGCAGAUGACUUUCAGCACGUCUAGUU
rnacentral:piRNA from 1 species